rnacentral:rRNA from 1 species
AUUGAACGCUGGCGGCAGGCCUAACACAUGCAAGUCGAACGAGUGGCGGACGGGUGAGUAAUGUCUGGGAAACUGCCCGAUGGAGGGGGAUAACUACUGGAAACAGUAGCUACUACCGCAUACCAUCGGAUGUGCCCAGAUGGGAUUAGCUAGUAGGUGGGGUAACGGCUCACCUAGGCGACGAUCCCUAGCUGGUCUGAGAGGAUGACCGUGUGCAAUGGAACAGAGACACGGUCCAGACGCCUAAGGGAGGCAGCAGUGGGGAAUAUUGCACAAGUGGGGCAAGCCUGAUGCAGCGAUGCCGCGGGUAUGAAGAUGGCCUUCGGGUUGUAAAGUACUUUCAGCGAGGAGGCGUUACUCGCAGAAGAAGCACCGGCUAACUCCGUGCCAGCAGCCGCGGUAAGUC